rnacentral:rRNA from 1 species
CGAAAGCUAGGGGAGCAAACAGGAUUAGAUACCCUGGUAGUCCUAGCCCUAAACGAUCAGGACUUGGGGUGCUUCACGUUCGUGGAGCGUCCCGGAGCUAACGCGUUAAGUCCUGCACCUGGGGAGUACGGUCGCAAGACUGAAACUCAAAGGAAUUGACGGGGGCCCGCACAAGCGGUGGAACAUGUGGUUCAAUUCGACGCUACGCGAGGAACCUUACCUGGGCUCGAAGCGCACUUGACUAGCUGUGGAAACACGGCCUUCCCGCAAGGGACAAGUGUGGAGGCGCUGCAUGGCUGUCGUCAGCUCGUGCCGUGAGGUGUUGGGUCAAGUCCCGCAACGAGCGCAACCCCUGCACGUAGUUGCCACUCCGCAAGGAGGGAACUCUACGUGGACUGCUCCGGAUAACGGAGAGGAAGGUGGGGAUGACGUCAAGUCCGCAUGGCCUUUAUGUCCAGGGCUACACACGUGUUACAAUGCAGGGCACAAACCGUUGCCAACCCGUGAGGGGGAGCUAAUCGGAAAAAACUCUGCUCAGUUCGGAUUGCAGUCUGCAACUCGACUGCAUGAAGCCGGAAUCGCUAGUAAUGGCGUAUCAGAUCGACGCCGUGAAUACGUUCCCGGGCCUUGUACACACCGCCCGUCACAUCACGAAAGUGGGCUGUACUGGAAGUCGCUGCGCUAACUCGCAAGAGAGGCAAGCGCCCAAGGUAUGACUCAUGAUUGGGGUGAAGUCGUAACAAGGUAGCCGUA